ACUAGUUCAUCACAGGCACAGAUGGACGAACGCCUCCUGAAAGCAGCGACUGAUGGUGAUUCCACGUCCAUGAAGCACUAUGCUUGUCGUAAUCCAGGCAUCCUUCUCGGAAAGACUUUGCGGAUGAACACUUGCCUUCACAUAUCCUUCAUCCAUGGUCACCAGAGAUUCUCCGCGGAUGUGGUGGCACUGGAGGAGUCUCUCCUCACCGCUGUAAACUUAGAUUGGGAGACGCCACUUCUUGCGGCGGUGAGAAAUGGUCACGUCUCUUUGGCUUCUUUUUUACUCGGAAGCUGCCAUCAGCUAGGAAUGGGGCAAGCAAUCUUAAAGCAAGACAAAUAUGGAUUUAACGCACUACACCAUGCCAUUCGCAAUGGCCAUGAGGAGCUUGCGCUGGAGUUGAUUACAGCAGAGCCUUCUCUGUCGCGAGCUGUGAGCGAAUGCAACGAGUCACCCAUGUUCUUCGCCUUGACAAGGAAUUUUACGCGUGUGUAUGAGCAGCUAGUUCAAGAUCCUCUUUCUUCUUAUACGGGAGGACUACACGAUCGCAAUUGCCUACAUGCCGCAGUCAGAAAUGGGAAUCCAGAAAUGGCAAAGCAUAUUCUGAGAAACUAUCCUGGACUAAUGAUCACUGAAGACAUCAAUAAAGUUACUCCAACAAGACAUGCUGUACUUUUUGACAAGAUUGACAUGUUACGAGUAAUACUGUUACAUGAUCCAACCAAAGGAUACGAAAUAAACAGUAUGGGUGAUCCUCUCCUUGCUGCUGCCGCAUAUCGAGGUCGAAUUAAUGCUGCUCGAGAGCUUCUGAAACACUGUCCUGAUGCUCCUUAUCGCCAAGAAAAUGGUGGGACAUUGCUUCAUAGAGCUGUAUGGGAUAACCAAAUAAAGUUCGUUAAAUUUGUCCUGACGACACCGCUACUUCGCAAACUCAUCAACAUGCAAGACAAGACUGGAAAAACCGCUCUACAUUAUGCAGUCCGGAAGUGUGAUCCGGAACUAGUUAGUAUUUUACUAUCUCACGAGGAUAUAGAUGCGACAGUGCUUGACAACAUCGGUGUUUCAGCGGCUUGGGAACUGAAGUACAUCAUGGAGAAUGCCAAGACUUUAAACUGGAAUGAAGUCUUGAUGCUUAUGCUAAAAGCAGAUGCCCAAAAUGCCACAUCUCUCUAUAAUCUUCACGGGAAAGCCAAGCAACAAGCAAUCGAUGCUGGAAGGAAGGAUGCAAAGUCACUAACUAAGACAUACACAACAAACAUUUCACUAGUGGCCAUUCUCAUAACAACAAUCACCUUUGCUGCUGCUUUCACCCUGCCUGGAGGAUACAGCAGUGUUGAUGGAAGCGAGGGACUUCCGAUCAUGUCUCAGAAGGUUGCAUUUCAAGCAUUCUUGAUCUCUGACACCUUAGCAAUGUGCUCCUCAUUUGCCGUUGCUUUCAUAUGUGUCAUAGCAAGGUGGGAGGAUUAUGAGUUCUUGAUUUAUUACACGUCUUUCACUAAGAAGCUCAUGUGGUUUGCAUACGUGGCAACUACAACGGCUUUUUCAACUGGUUUAUACACGGUGUUAGCGUCUCGGCUCCAUUGGUUGGCCACUGCAAUUUCCGUUCUGGUAGCUUUAUUGCCCAUUCUAACCAAGCUUCUUGGCGAAUGGCCUAUUUUGAAGCUCAGAUUCCGGUUGGGAAAAACUUUCAACUCCGAUCUCUUGGACAUGGUGUGA
rnacentral:rRNA from 1 species